rnacentral:rRNA from 1 species
CGGGACACGUGGUAUCCUGUCUGAAUAUGGGGGGACCAUCCUCCAAGGCUAAAUACUCCUGACUGACCGAUAGUGAACCAGUACCGUGAGGGAAAGGCGAAAAGAACCCCGGCGAGGGGAGUGAAAAAGAACCUGAAACCGUGUACGUACAAGCAGUGGGAGCACGCUUAGGCGUGUGACUGCGUACCUUUUGUAUAAUGGGUCAGCGACUUAUAUUCUGUAGCAAGGUUAACCGAAUAGGGGAGCCGAAGGGAAACCGAGUCUUAACUGGGCGUUAAGUUGCAGGGUAUAGACCCGAAACCCGGUGAUCUAGCCAUGGGCAGGUUGAAGGUUGGGUAACACUAACUGGAGGACCGAACCGACUAAUGUUGAAAAAUUAGCGGAUGACUUGUGGCUGGGGGUGAAAGGCCAAUCAAACCGGGAGAUAGCUGGUUCUCCCCGAAAGCUAUUUAGGUAGCGCCUCGUGAAUUCAUCUCCGGGGGUAGAGCACUGUUUCGGCAAGGGGGUCAUCCCGACUUACCAACCCGAUGCAAACUGCGAAUACCGGAGAAUGUUAUCACGGGAGACACACGGCGGGUGCUAACGUCCGUCGUGAAGAGGGAAACAACCCAGACCGCCAGCUAAGGUCCCAAAGUCAUGGUUAAGUGGGAAACGAUGUGGGAAGGCCCAGACAGCCAGGAUGUUGGCUUAGAAGCAGCCAUCAUUUAAAGAAAGCGUAAUAGCUCACUGGUCGAGUCGGCCUGCGCGGAAGAUGUAACGGGGCUAAACCAUGCACCGAAGCUGCGGCAGCGACGCUGAUGCGUUGUUGGGUAGGGGAGCGUUCUGUAAGCCUGUGAAGGUGUGCUGUGAGGCAUGCUGGAGGUAUCAGAAGUGCGAAUGCUGACAUAAGUAACGAUAAAGCGGGUGAAAAGCCCGCUCGCCGGAAGACCAAGGGUUCCUGUCCAACGUUAAUCGGGGCAGGGUGAGUCGACCCCUAAGGCGAGGCCGAAAGGCGUAGUCGAUGGGAAACAGGUUAAUAUUCCUGUACUUGGUGUUACUGCGAAGGGGGGACGGAGAAGGCUAUGUUGGCCGGGCGACGGUUGUCCCGGUUUAAGCGUGUAGGCUGGUUUUCCAGGCAAAUCCGGAAAAUCAAGGCUGAGGCGUGAUGACGAGGCACUACGGUGCUGAAGCAACAAAUGCCCUGCUUCCAGGAAAAGCCUCUAAGCAUCAGGUAACAUCAAAUCGUACCCCAAACCGACACAGGUGGUCAGGUAGAGAAUACCAAGGCGCUUGAGAGAACUCGGGUGAAGGAACUAGGCAAAAUGGUGCCGUAACUUCGGGAGAAGGCACGCUGAUAUGUAGGUGAAGCGACUUGCUCGUGGAGCUGAAAUCAGUCGAAGAUACCAGCUGGCUGCAACUGUUUAUUAAAAACACAGCACUGUGCAAACACGAAAGUGGACGUAUACGGUGUGACGCCUGCCCGGUGCCGGAAGGUUAAUUGAUGGGGUCAGCGCAAGCGAAGCUCUUGAUCGAAGCCCCGGUAAACGGCGGCCGUAACUAUAACGGUCCUAAGGUAGCGAAAUUCCUUGUCGGGUAAGUUCCGACCUGCACGAAUGGCGUAAUGAUGGCCAGGCUGUCUCCACCCGAGACUCAGUGAAAUUGAACUCGCUGUGAAGAUGCAGUGUACCCGCGGCAAGACGGAAAGACCCCGUGAACCUUUACUAUAGCUUGACACUGAACAUUGAGCCUUGAUGUGUAGGAUAGGUGGGAGGCUUUGAAGUGUGGACGCCAGUCUGCAUGGAGCCGGCCUUGAAAUACCACCCUUUAAUGUUUGAUGUUCUAACGUUGACCCGUGAUCCGGGUUGCGGACAGUGUCUGGUGGGUAGUUUGACUGGGGCGGUCUCCUCCUAAAGAGUAACGGAGGAGCACGAAGGUUGGCUAAUCCUGGUCGGACAUCAGGAGGUUAGUGCAAUGGCAUAAGCCAGCUUGACUGCGAGCGUGACGGCGCGAGCAGGUGCGAAAGCAGGUCAUAGUGAUCCGGUGGUUCUGAAUGGAAGGGCCAUCGCUCAACGGAUAAAAGGUACUCCGGGGAUAACAGGCUGAUACCGCCCAAGAGUUCAUAU